GAAGCCAACAUACGAAGAUGCUGGGAAUUAUCACCGUGAAAUCUGAGACUGGAAUGUGCUUCGCAGAUACAAAAACAGGGACACGUUAAUAAAACACCGCGCCCCGAGGCCCCCAGGCCAGGCAGCCAGCCAAGAGCACCCUGUCCAGAGGGCUAAAAAUCAUAGGAGCUGAUACGUAUUGAAUCCUACCUAAGUGCCAGGUGCUGUCUUCUUGAAGCUGAAGAAUUUGUCUUCUCAACACGAUGGCCUUAUCAGCUGCUGGUUCCUCUCAGAGUACCUGUGCUGGGGCACACAGAGGGAGCUCAAGCCCUGAGAAGCUAAACGAUCUUCCGGGAAAG